CGAAGUCGACUUGGAGGUGUGCCCUUGAGGAUGGUUCCGGAGCUAACGCGUUAAGUCGACCGCCUGGAGAGUACGGCCGCAAGAUAAAACUCAAAUGAAUUGACGGGGGCCCGCACAAGCCGAAGAGCAUGUGGCUUAAUUCGAUGCAACGCGAAGAACCUUACCUACUCUUGACAUCCAGAGAACUUUCCAGAGAUGGAUUGGGGCCUUCGGGAACUCUGAGACAGGGGCUGCAUGGUUGUCGUCAGCUCGUGUUGUGAAAUGCUGGAGUAAGUCCCGCAACGAGCGCAACCCUUAUCCUUUGUUGCCAGCGGUUAGGCCGGGAACUCAAAGGAGACUGCCAGUGAU
rnacentral:rRNA from 1 species